GACGAACGCUGGCGGCGUGCUUAACACAUGCAAGUCGAACGGAGUGGCGAACGGGUGAGUAACACGUGGGUGAACCGGCCUGCACUUCGGGAUCAGCCUGGGAAACUGGGUCUUAUAACGGCAUGUGUGGGAUGGGCACCCGGCCUAUCAGCUUGUUGGUGGGGUAAUGUCCUCUCAAGGCGGCGACGGGUAGCCGGCCUGGGAGGGUGGACGGCCACAAGACGACUGCGACACGGAGCAGUGGGCAAUGUGGGGCAGCAGGGGGAAGUAUGGUACAAUGGUCGGGAGCGUGUGGAGGCGGCGCUAGGGGGGGAAUGUCGGCCUUCUGGGUGUGAAGGCCUUACUCCUAAGACGCGUUAGAGGGAGAAGAAGCACCGGCUAACUACGUGCCAGCCGCCGCGGUAAUAC
rnacentral:rRNA from 1 species